CCUACGGGGGGCUGCAGUGGGGAAUAUUGGGCAAUGGGCGCAAGCCUGACCCAGCAACGCCGCGUGAAGGAAGACGGCUUUCGGGUUGUAAACUUCUUUUAAGAGGGAAGAGAAGAAGACGGUACCUCUUGAAUAAGCCACGGCUAACUACGUGCCAGCAGCCGCGGUAAUACGUAGGUGGCAAGCGUUGUCCGGAUUUACUGGGUGUAAAGGGCGUGCAGCCGGGCUGACAAGUCAGAUGUGAAAUCCCGCGGCUCAACCGCGGAACUGCAUUUGAAACUGUAAAGCUGGAGUACUGGAGAGGCAGGCGGAAUUCCUAGUGUAGCGGUGAAAUGCGUAGAUAUUAGGAGGAACACCAGUGGCGAAGGCGGCCUGCUGGACAGAAACUGACGUUGAGGCUCGAAAGCGUGGGGAGCAAACAGGAUUAGAUACCCGGGUAGUC
rnacentral:rRNA from 1 species